rnacentral:tRNA from 1 species
GUCAGGAUGGCCGAGCGGUCUAAGGCGCUACGUUCAGGUCGUAGUCUACUCUGUGGGCGUGGGUUCGAAUCCCACUCCUGACA